AUCAUUAAAAAUGUAAGUGACAUUUUGCUGAUGACCCACUGAGCCGUCAAGAAAGGGCAAAGGAAAAACACCGCUUUUGGGUGAAGCGGCAGCGUGUUGUGUUGCUUUGCUUCAAUCGGUGGUGUGAGUUGU
ensembl:snoRNA small nucleolar RNA SNORA21